rnacentral:lncRNA from 1 species
UUACGUCAUCUUUGAGCUGUAAAUGGAGAAUCUGAAUUUCUGUCCACCUUCACACAAGAAACAAUUGAGUCAGAUGCUAUAUGAUGACGGGGAAUCAAAGUUUUGAUUUGCCUUGCAAUCUUGCCGACUAAAGAUCCGCAUCUAGGAGGAUUGGCCCUAUGCAUUAGCCGAAGGUAUUCAUCAAUGACAUCUUCAAUGCGAAAUGAUGCUUCUCUCAGCUGCUUCACCCAAGUUCUUAUUCC